GGCCUCCCUCUUUGGGGCAAUCGAUCGUGGGGAUCUACGAUCGGUUGCCCAGCAGAGGGAGGCC
rfam:Myotis brandtii contig315926, whole genome shotgun sequence.